UACGUAGGGUGCAAGCGUUGUCCGGAUUUAUUGGGCGUAAAGAGCUCGUAGGCGGCUUUUCAAGUCAGGGGUGAAAUCCGGCAGCUCAACUGUCGAAGUGCCCUUGAUACUGAUGAGCUCGAGGGAGGUAGGGGUAUGUGGAACUUCCGGUGGAGCGGUGAAAUGCGUUGAUAUCGGAAGGAACGCCGGUGGCGAAAGCGACGUACUGGACCUCUUCUGACGCUGAGGCGCGAAAGCUAGGGGAGCAAACGGG
rnacentral:rRNA from 1 species